GGGGGUGAGCUCAAGUGGUAGAGCUCAUGCUUAGCAUGCAUGAGGUCCUAGGUUCAAUCCCCAGUACCUUCA
rnacentral:tRNA from 1 species